ensembl:ncRNA F47B7.13 ncRNA
GAAAGUGACCUUGACCUCUCUUUUAUACUAGGAACAGUUUUUCGGAAGGCAACGCCCACCCCCUUCCGUGGUGAACUUCGGUAAUGCGCACACAUGCACUAAGCUCAUCACAAAUAGAAAGAAG